UUAUCACAAUGAGCAGACGGCCAUGUCAGGAAGGCAUGAGAGCUUCAUUGCACAUUUUAGUGUAUAAGGCUACCAUUUGUCUUUAAGCAGGCGAAAGAACAACGUGGCUGGCAUUUAUCGAGAGAAGACACACAGCACAGCCUUGCAUAAAUAAUGGCACUGGUCCAAGUACAGCUGGGGUGGUUGCCAGCACAACUCCACUGAAGUCAAAGGAAUUGCACCAUGGGUGUUUCCUUAUGCCCUGUGUUGCCCUUCCCCUUCAAGAGCACAAAGGCAUGUGUGCGUAUCAAAGGAGAGAAGUAAAGACGACCACUGUUCUUGCA